AGGUCUGAUUGAGCAAACUGCAGUUGAGAUGGUGGGCAAAGGUCGUACGAUUGCACUUGAAUAGAUGGAACUUAAUUGACUUCUAAUACAACCAGCCAAACCCACAUGGCUUAUUCCCUUUGGAACCUUCAAACCAACAAUGAUAAUCGUGUUGAAUAACUCGACAUAUCUAAUCAACAUUGUACAAGCAUUAUGAAUGGGCUGUUGGAACUGGAGAUGGCAAAUCUGAUAUAUUAGAUUUUCAACAGAACAAGAAGCAAUCGAACUAGCAAAUGAUACCCAAUAUGGAUUGGGUUAUGUUGUUUCAUCCAAUGACUGGAGUGGUGUGAUCGUGUUGCAAAGGUAUUAAAAACUUAAUUAGAAGCAAAUACAUGCAUUACAAUUUACAAUUGAUAUGUGAGUUUAGGGGUGGCAAUAGGUUGUGUUUCCCUUUAACAAUAGGUAUACAGAAAAGUGAAGACUACAGGUUUAAUGCAAUUGCAGCUGAGUACCAAGAAUACAACAAGAAGGAUAUAACUUUAGUUUUCCAAUUCUCUGUCAUGCGUGAGCAGAAGCGUGAUUGUGGUGGUGGCUACAUGAAGUUCAGUGGUGAUGCGUGUGGAUUAAAAGAAACUGUUGAUGUGACUUCAUUUAAUAGACGUCCGACUUAGUAUAAAUAUAAAUGUAAUUAUCGUCGCAUCCCGCCGCAUCGCGGCCGGUAGUAUAUCUAGUUAUACAUCAAAAAUAAAGAAAAUAGUGAAGAGAUACAUCUCUUGGUGCAAGUUUUUUAGUAAAAAUUAGU